rnacentral:rRNA from 1 species
AUGUGCUUCCGCGCUGUGUGCUCGCACUGGCGUGCCUUCACCACCAGCCCCUGCGAUCUCACGCUGCAGGAAACCCGCUUCCGUCCUCGCGGCUGGGUCGCCCUCUGUGACGGCGACGGCGUACGCCCAGCUGAUGCCUGCGAGAUCACCCUCUUCCACACGUCUACCAGCAGGCGCCUCCAUGCCCGUCUGUCCGAGCUCCAGAACCACCGGGUCGUCGGCUUCACUGAUGGCCUCCUCAUCCUGCUCAACAAGGGCACCACCGCUGUCCGUGUCCUGCAUCCAUUCACCCGUGUCUUCAUUGACCUCCCUCCCCUUGCGCCCAUCUUCCACCAUUUGGUUUGGAUGAAAGCCGCAGUCUGCCGGUCCCAUGCCUCGAUUGCCGUCGUUGCCUGGUUCUCGGUUGUGCCAGUGGUGGUCUACGCUGAACCUGGGAAGCCACAUUGGUCUGUCAUACACCAAGGUCUUGAGCUUUGGACUGCCUUACCAUUCCGAGGCAGACUGUUUGGCAUCAGAAAGGGGACAUGGGAGAUUGUGCAGGUGUACCCUCUGUUCCCGCAGCACCCAGUGGUUGCUCGUAUUCCCAGCUUGUUUGGUUGCCCUACAUUUUGUUGCUACUACCUUGUGGAAUUCAGAGAAUACAUGCUCCUUGCUGUCCAGCAUCGUCGUGUUAGCCAGAGCAAGAAGGGGUGGCAGCCAUUCGCUUUUGCCCUCUUCCUGGUGAAUAUAAACCAAAGAGGACUGGCUCUGUUGAGUAGCCUAGGUGACCGGGCGCUCUUCCUUAGCAAAGACCGAUGCCUAUGUGUCUCCGCCACAAAACUCCCUUCUAUCAGCAGCAAUUCCAUCUACUUCUCGCUGCCCAACUUCGACCCUGGUGUAGUGUAUUCUCUAAGCAGCGGGACAUUCGAGCGGACAUCAACGCAUGCCCUCAUACAUGACCUGAAGGAGAGGGUUCGGCCCUCUGUGCGGCCCUUCACCCUGGCUGAUCAUCUGACAACAUAUUGCCACCAUCUUGAGUGGUCAAAGGGACUUAUGUUUCAUGAGUACUAUGUUAUACCUUUGUCUUGGAAGGAAAUGUUGAGAAAAAUUACGUUACAUGACUGUGAAAUUCAAGUUUCAUGUGUGUGUGAAGAGAACGAAGUGGGAAGUUUGACGUCAAAGAAAAAGAACCUGGGAAUAACAGGACGCACACUUGCCUUGCACUGGAAAUCGUCUCAUUCUGGAGCAUCUCCAGAACUGAUAUUACUAGAGCAGAUUUCGUCGUAG